UACAAGUCGUAACAAGGUAACCGUAGGUGAACCUGCGGUUGGAUCAUUAAUAAAUCCAAGAGAUUUGGCCUUUGGGUGCAUUUCUCUACUGGUCGCAAGACCUUUAACACUUUGUGAACUCGAGAUGCUUGUAAGGGUUUAGGCCUGAGCAAGUAUUCUUACACUUAUUACAUUUUGUCUUAUUAAAAGAUUUAAUCUUUACAACUUUUAACAAUGGAUCUCUUGGCUCUCG
rnacentral:misc_RNA from 1 species